GGACCUGUAGUUCAACGGAUAGAAUAGAAGUUUCCUAAACUUUAGAUAGGGGUUCGAUUCCCCUCGGGUCUA
rnacentral:tRNA from 1 species